rnacentral:rRNA from 1 species
GACGUAGGGCGCGAGCGUUGUCCGGAUUUAUUGGGCGUUGAAAGAGCUCGUAGGCGGCUUGUCGCGUCGUCCGGUGAAAACCUGCAGCUCAACUGACAGGCUUGCGGUCGAUACGGGCAGGCUAGAGUUCGGUAGGGGAGACUGGAAUUCCUGGUGUAGCGGUGAAAUGACGCAGAUAUCAGGAGGAACACCCGUGGCGAAGGCGGCUCUCUGGAACGCAACUGACGCUGAGACGCGAAAAGCGUGGGGAGCAAACAGG